GGAGCUGUAGUUCAAUUGGUAGAAUAGUAGAUUCCAAUUCGCGUUUCCCCGGAAGCAAGUUUGGAUUAUCUAUUGGUCGCAGGUUCGAUUCCUGUCAGCUUCA
rfam:Cryptococcus dejecticola CBS 10117 unplaced genomic scaffold supercont1.4, whole genome shotgun sequence.